rnacentral:rRNA from 1 species
CGCUGGCGGCGUGCUUAACACAUGCAAGUCGAACGAGAGGAGAAGGAAGCUUGCUUCUUAUCAAUUCGAGUGGCAAACGGGUGAGUAACGCGUAAGCAACCUGCCCUUCAGAUGGGGGACAACAGCUGGAAAACGGCUGCUAAUACCGAAUACGUUCUUUUUGUCGCAUGGCAGAGGGAAGAAAGGGAGGCUCUUCGGAGCUUUCGCUGAAGGAGGGGCUUGCGUCUGAUUAGCUAGUUGGAGGGGUAACAGCCCACCAAGGCGACGAUCAGUAGCCGGUCUGAGAGGAUGAACGGCCACAUUGGGACUGAGACACGGCCCAGACUCCUACGGGAGGCAGCAGUGGGGAAUCUUCCGCAAUGGACGAAAGUCUGACGGAGCAACGCCGCGUGAACGAUGACGGCCUUCGGGUUGUAAAGUUCUGUUAUACGGGACGAAUGGCGUAGCGGUCAAUACCCGUUACGAGUGACGGUACCGUAAGAGAAAGCCACGGCUAACUACGUG